rnacentral:piRNA from 1 species
UAUAGACCCCUCCCGAAGGAUAACAAAUA